GUUUCUUUAGUAUUAACUAGUACAAUUGACUUCCAAUCAAUUAGUUUCGGUAUAUUCCGAAAAGAAACA
rnacentral:tRNA from 1 species